GAUGAACGCUGGCGGCGUGCCUAAUACAUGCAAGUCGAGCGAACAGAUGAUGAGCUUGCUCCUCUGACGUUAGCGGCGGACUGGUGAGUAACACGUUGAUAACCUACCUAUAAGACUGGGAUAACUUCGGGAAACCGGAGCUAAUACCGUAUAAUAUAUUGAACCUCAUGGUUCAAUAGUGAAAGACGGUUUUGCUGUCAUUUAUAGAUGGAUCCGCGCCGAAUUAUCUAGUUGGUAAGGUAACGGCUUACCAAGGCAACGAUGCGUAGCCGACCUGAGAGGGUGAUCGGCCACACUGGAACUGAGACACGGUCCAGACUCCUACGGGAGGCAGCAGUAGGGAAUCUUCCGAAAUGGGCGAAAGCCUGACGGAGCAACGCCGCGUGAGUGAUGAAGGUCUUCGGAUCGUAAAACUCUGUUAUUAGGGAAGAACAAAUGUGUAAGUAACUAUGCACGUCUUGACGGUACCUAAUCAGAAAGCCACGGCUAACUACGUG
rnacentral:rRNA from 1 species